GGGGAUAUAGCUCAGUUGGGAGAGCACUAGCCUUGCAAGCUGGGGGUCGUGGGUUCGAGUCCCAUUGUCUCCACCA
rnacentral:tRNA from 1 species